GAUGAACGCUAGCGGCAGGCCUAAUACAUGCAAGUCGGACGGGAUUUGGGAGCUUGCUCCUAAUGAGAGUGGCGCACGGGUGCGUAACACGUAUGUAACCUACCUUAAUCAGGGGGAUAGCCUCUCGAAAGAGAGAUUAACACCGCAUAAUAUAUUUUUAUGGCAUCGUAGGAAUAUCAAAUAUUUAUAGGAUUAAGAUGGGCAUGCGGAACAUUAGCUAGUUGGUAAGGUAACGGCUUACCAAGGCUACGAUGUUUAGGGGAUCUGAGAGGAUGACCCCCCACACUGGUACUGAGCCACGGACCAGACUCCUACGGGAGGCAGCAGUAAGGAAUAUUGGUCAAUGGGCGCAAGCCUGAACCAGCCAUGCCGCGUGCAGGAAGACGGCCCUAUGGGUUGUAAACUGCUUUUGUACCGGAAUAAACCCCCAGACGUGUCUGGGGCUGAAUGUACGGUAAGAAUAAGGAUCGGCUAACUCCGUGCCAGCCGCCGCGGUAA
rnacentral:rRNA from 1 species